rnacentral:rRNA from 1 species
GAUGAACGCUGGCGGCGUGCCUAAUACAUGCAAGUCGAGCGAACGGACGAGAAGCUUGCUUUUCUGAUGUUAGCGGCGGACGGGUGAGUAACACGUGGAUAACCUACCUAUAAGACUGGGAUAACUUCGGGAAACCGGAGCUAAUACCGGAUAAUAUUUUGAACCGCAUGGUUCAAAAGUGAAAGACGGUCUUGCUGUCACUUAUAGAUGGAUCCGCGCUGCAUUAGCUAGUUGGUAAGGUAACGGCUUACCAAGGCAACGAUGCAUAGCCGACCUGAGAGGGUGAUCGGCCACACUGGAACUGAGACACGGUCCAGACUCCUACGGGAGGCAGCAGUAGGGAACCUUCCGCAAUGGGCGAAAGCCUGACGGAGCAACGCCGCGUGAGUGAUGAAGGUCUUCGGAUCGUAAAACUCUGUUAUUAGGAAGAACAUAUGUGUAAGUAACUGUGCACAUCUUGACGGUACCUAAUCAGAAAGCCACGGCUAACUACGUG